rnacentral:lncRNA from 1 species
UGCCCGCAGACCUGGAAGACCUCACGAGGGGUGUACAGAGCUGGAGGAGCUGGGGAGAAAGAGCAGUAAAGGAGGGCAAGUGGGACCUCAGCCCUUGAGAAUCACCUUCAUGAAGUCUGUCUCCUCCCUCCACCACCGCUCUUCCUGCCGAGGGCAUCUUCAGCCACGGAGAAUCACGCCCACUCCCUCCUGCCCAGGCCCAGCACUACGGGGAUUAAAGGCCAACGCCAAGGGAGCAGCAGAGGAUGGGCACCAGAUCCAAAGGGCUGAACGACGUGCCCAAAGUUUCCCAAGAGCGCGUGAGUGAGGAACUGGCUCCCGACGGACCAUCCUCACCUCACAGCUAGGAGCGCACAAGUCCUGAACCCCCGAAAGCUCUGUUUUGCCCCUAAAUCCCAGAGAAACCACUUGACAGCAUCUCCUUCUGCUCCCCAUCAUCACGGCCCCUUUGUCUAGGCUCUCCUCCCCCU